rnacentral:rRNA from 1 species
UAGGGAAUCUUCCACAAUGGACGCAAGUCUGAUGGAGCAACGCCGCGUGAGUGAAGAAGGUUUUCGGACCGUAAAGCUCUGUUGUUGGUGAAGAAGGAUAGAGGUAGUAACUGGCCUUUAUUUGACGGUAAUCAACCAGAAAGUCACGGCUAACUACGUGCCAGCAGCCGCGGUAAUACGUAGGUGGCAAGCGUUGUCCGGAUUUAUUGGGCGUAAAGCGAGCGCAGGCGGAAGAAUAAGUCUGAUGUGAAAGCCCUCGGCUUAACCGAGGAAUUGCAUCGGAAACUGUUUUCUUGAGUGCAGAAGAGGAGAGUAGAACUCCAUGUGUAGCGGUGGAAUGCGUAGAUAUAUGGAAGAAUACCAGUGGCGAAGGCGGCUCUCUGGUCUGCAACUGACGCUGAGGCUCGAA